ACGCGGCGGCAGCAGGCCCUGGGCCAGCAGCGCGCCGCCCACUACCAGCACGACCUGAAGAAGCAGGAGCGCCAGAUGGAGCGGCUCAAGGACAUGAUCCACCGGCUGCUGGACAAGCAAAGCCAGGAACGGCGGUCCGGCAUCGUCAUCUCGAGCCUUCUGGGACGGCAGGACGGCUCGCGUGCCAAGUGGCGCACCCCGGCCACCGCCAUCAGGCAUAAGGAGGAGGCGUACGAGCGCGUGCUGGCCGG